rnacentral:lncRNA from 1 species
UCGGAUUCUUCUCAGAUUUGUACAUAUCUGAAAAGGUUAAAGACAAAAUUUAAGGUUUUCAGAAGUAAACUAGAGAUGAGAACAUCGACUUCGGAAUGAUUUAAGAUGAAAUAAGAAGUUCUUACUCAAAAUCAAGCCAUAACAGCCUGAAACGGGCAAGAAAGACCCAAAAGAUUCUCAAGGACCUUAGAUAUAGAAGUACCUAGCAUAAAAAAGGCCAUUAGAGGCCUGGGGUGGUGAAGAACCACCAUGAACGACAGUAGGUAGGUGACGGCGGGGGGAUUAGGUUAGAGUUAGAGAGCAUCUAAGAGAGGGACAGGAGAGUGAUGGCGG